rnacentral:rRNA from 2 species
AGAUUGAACGCUGGCGGCAGGCCUAACACAUGCAAGUCGAGCGGAAACGAGUUAUCUGAACCUUCGGGGAACGAUAGCGGCGUCGAGCGGCGGACGGGUGAGUAAUGCCUAGGAAAUUGCCCUGAUGUGGGGGAUAACCAUUGGAAAUGAUGGCUAAUACCGCAUAAUGCCUACGGGCCAAAGAGGGGGACCUUCGGGCCUCUCGCGUCAGGAUAUGCCUAGGUGGGAUUAGCUAGUUGGUGAGGUAAGGGCUCACCAAGGCGACGAUCCCUAGCUGGUCUGAGAGGAUGAUCAGCCACACUGGAACUGAGACACGGUCCAGACUCCUACGGGAGGCAGCAGUGGGGAAUAUUGCACAAUGGGCGCAAGCCUGAUGCAGCCAUGCCGCGUGUGUGAAGAAGGCCUUCGGGUUGUAAAGCACUUUCAGUCGUGAGGAAGGUAGUGUAGUUAAUAGCUGCAUUAUUUGACGUUAGCGACAGAAGAAGCACCGGCUAACUCCGUGCCAGCAGCCGCGGUAAUACGGAGGGUGCGAGCGUUAAUCG